UGCCACAGCCAUAUCAAUCUGCAGCCCAAGACCGGUUACUCACUUAAGCUAAGCAGGGCUGAGCCUGGUCAGUACCUGGAUGGGAGACCACUAGGGAACACUAGGUUGCUGUUGGAU
rfam:Danio rerio chromosome 17, GRCz11 reference primary assembly.